UGCAUAAUGAGCCUACGAGUUACUCCUCACUAGCAAGGUUAAGGUCUUAAGGACCGGAGCCGAAGCGAAAGCAAGUCUGAAUAGGGCGCUUAGUUAGUGGGGGUAGACGCGAAACCGUGUGAUCUACCCAUGAUCAGGUUGAAGCUCUGGUAACACAGAGUGGAGGACCGAACCAGUUGACUUUGAAAAGUCUUUGGAUGAAUUGUGGGUAGGGGUGAAAGGCCAA
rnacentral:rRNA from 1 species